AAAUAUCACUAUUUUUAAAAUUUUAAGUAGCUGAACACCUCAGCUCAGUGCCACAGGAAUGCAGUUAGGAGAAGUGUUUGUUAUCUUAUUGUGUGAGGCUGUGUGCAGGCUGCUGACUUUAAAAAACCUAAUGGUAGCAUAACACAAUGAUGUUAUUUAUGGACCAAGGAGGAGCUCAGACCAAUGUGAUGUACCAGGAGAAAGUAAAAGCAGGAAGGAGCAAGCCAUAGAAAUCUGAGGCUGAUUGAUAAGGAAAUCCCCCAGCAAAAAUCUGAGACAUAUCUAGCUUGUGUAGGGUUCCUGUGUUUAGCAGGAAGUUGAGAUGACUCACUGGAUCCUGUCUCUCUCGCCUGCUGCUCCCAUUAAAUCCCUUCAAAGCCCUGGUUUGUGUAGAAAAAUUACACAAUAUACCAAAGAAUGACUGUGGUCUAUUUUUCAUAUCCGUACAUUUUUAAAGAGGAUACAAUGAUUGUAUGUCUCAGUAUCUAAAGGUGACCUGGGCCUCCCUUGAACGGGUUUGCCCUGAGGAUGUCCGCCAUUUUGUGGGAGAGCAGCCAGGUUCACCCUGAUGUUUGCCAGUUAUGGAGUCCAAGAAUGAGUCCAGGGGCCAUUCCUGUGGUGCUAUUGGGUAGAAACAUUUUAAUGGUUACAAGUUCUGCUGAAAUACCACAGUUUCAUGAUGACUUUGGCAUAUCCAAAGGCUAAAGAAGAGCCAUCCAAGUUCUUACUACCAAGCAAAGAACCUUCAAGCAAAAACGGUAGUGGACCUGAGCAAGGGAGAAUGAAGAAAACUAAAGACACAAGGGAAAGUUAGUCCGAAGGACUAAUGGACCACAACUACUGCAGCCUCAACCAGACUGAGUCCAGUACAACUAGAUGGUGCCUGGAUACCGCCACUGACUGCUCUGGCAGGGAUCACAAUAGAGGGUUCCAGACAGACUUGGAGAAAAACGUAGAACAAAAUUCUAACUCAGAAAGACUAGACUUGCUGGCCUUACAGAGACCGGAGAAACCCUGAGAUUAUGGUCCCCAGAUAACCUUUCAGCUCAGUAAUGAAGUCAUUCCUGAGGUUGACCCUUCAGCCAAAGAUUGGACAGGUCCAUGAAACAAAACAAGACUAAAGGGACACACCAGCCCUGGGGCAAGGACUAGAAGGCAAGAGGGGACAGGAAAGCUGGUAAUAGGGAACCCACGGUUGAGAAGGGAGAGUGUUGACAUGUCGUGGGGUUGUUAACCAAUGUCAUAAAACAGUGUGUGUACUAACUGUUUAAUGAGAAGCUUGCUUGUUUUAUAAACCUUCAUCUAAAGUACAAAAAAACAAAAACAAAAACAACUUUCUUCCUUGAUAGAGAAAAAAUUAUUCCUGGAGACAGAGAAGUUAGGUCUGUUGUGUUUUUUAUACAUUGAUAGUUACAUAUUUUGCUGAUGAUUUUUCACUAUAUGAACAGGCGGUCAUGCUAUGGGGGCACUUCCUUGAAUCUCUAAUCCUUGAUUACACAUGAAAAUGCCUGCAUUCCAGACAGGGAGAAAGCAUUGUAGAGAUGGGAUGGCCUGAGAGAACUGAGAUGUUCAGGGGAGAAAUAGUGGUUAGUAUUUUUUUGGAGGAAGAGAGGAGAGAGAAGGCUCGGGAGUGGUUUUAAUUCAGAUGAGGAAAGGCUUAAAGCCAUGCAAAGCAGUUUGGGUUUUAUCUUGAAGGCUAAGGAGAAGCUCAGAAAGCUUUUAAGUGGGGACUGACUAGAUCAGGUUCAUAUUUAAGAAGGACUGUUAAGGCAGCUGUGUGAAGAAUGAAUUUGGGAGGCACGGGCAGUGUGUAAGAAGAUUAACUAGGAUAUUGAGAUAACCUACUGGAGAAGUGAUGAAUGUCUGAACUCAGUAUGUUAGGAGAUGAAUUUGAAAGAUAUUAAGCAAGCAGAAUGGGUGGCACUGAUUUCUCUCUUGCUUUCCCAGUAGCCAUCCUACUCCUUCUCUUAAUGAAUAGAUCUUCUGCAUUACCGGUAGUACAGCCACCGGCUAAAAACCUAAAUUUCCCUGACUUCCUUGCAGGGGUGACUAAUGAGAGUGGUGAACUGAACUUCUGGGGAACUUUUAAAGGGGACUUACUCAGUUGGAAUUGGCUUAAUUGCCCCUUCCCUCUUUUUCUUUCUGCCUGGAACUUGGAAACAGCCAUCUUGUAAUCGUGAUGUCCUCUUAAAGAUGGAAGCCAUGUGAAAAGGAGGACAGAGAAGAAAGACAGGACUCCAGGGCCCUGAUGACAUAGUGGAACCAAUUUACUAAUCUUGGGCAGUCUACCUCUGAACUUCACACUCAGUGAGAAAAAGAUAACUCCUUGUCUUGUGUGAUGGAACGACAAAACCAAAACCAAACCCACUGCCGUCGAGUCAAUUCCAACUCAUAGUGACCCUAUAGGACAGAGUAGAACUGCCCCCAUGGAGUUUCCAAGGAGCGCCUGACAGAUUCGAACUGCUGACCUUUUGGUUUGCAGCUGUAGCACUUAACCACUACGCCACGAGGGUUUCCGAUGGAAUGACAGGGGUCUUUAAAAGGGAAAGAAGAGGAGGGGACACAGAGACGAGAGAAGACGACCACGUGAAGACUGAAGCAAGGAUUGCUGCCUUAAACCAAGGAACUCCUGAAACUACCAAGGAUCUCCUGGAGCCACCAGAAGCUGGAAAAGGCAAGAAGGAUUUCCCCCUAGUACCUUCAGAGAAAGCCCAGCCAAGUCGACACCUUGAUUUUAGACUCUGGCCUCCAGAAGUGUGAGAGAUUAAAUUGCCUUUGUUUAAAUCACAACGUUUGUGAUAAUUUGUUACUGCAGGCCUGGGAGACGCAGACGUACAGCAACUGAGAGGGUCAUUGGGCACCAGAUGGGGAGCCUCUUGUCGGUUUGGGCCCCUGGGUGAAUGCAUGGAGAGAGACUCCCCCAUCUCUCCCUGGACAUGUAACAUGAGCACGGAAAGCACUUUUGUUGUGCAAAGCUACCGAGAUUUUGGAAUUAUUACUGCAGUAUAACCCGUUGUUGUUGUUGUUAGCUGCCAUUGAGUUGAUUCUGACUCAUAGCGACCCCAUGGGACAGAGUAGAACUGUCCCCUAGGGUUUUCUUGGCUGUAAUCUUUACAGAAGGAGAUCACCAGGUCUCACUCCCGCAGAGCUGCUGAGUGGAUUCGAACUGCCGACCUUUUGGUUAGCAGCCGAGUCUAUCCCAAUUAAUACGUCUUUUUUUUUUCCUUACGUCAGAAAUAUUCUUUUGAAAAUCUGAUUUUGAAUGACUGUGAUAAUUUUUCAUUAUAUGCAUAUUCUAAAUUUUAUUUGGUCUGUUAAAUAGACUUAUUGUUAAAUAAUCAUUUAUUUUGUUUAAUAAAUAACAUUUCAUUAAUUAUUUUAAGCAAAUUUUACUUAUUUAUGUAAAUUUGAAUGUAUAAAAUUCAUUUAUUUAAUAAAUAUCAGUUAUUUUUAUUAAAUAGACAAGUGGUCUAUUGAAUUAGUCAUACCCUAUUGUAAGGUAUUCAUUUCACUUUUUUUUUUUUCUUUUUUAAAUGGCGUGCAGUGAGAAAUCUCAAGAGCAUAUCUGCUGUGUUCUCAUGAGAAAUUUCUAUAAAUGGAAUGGUUAGGUCAAAGUGUAAGAAUGUUUUCAAGACUCUGGAUACAAAUUGACAAACUUCUCUCAGUGACAUUGAUCUAGUUUACACUUCCUUUGGUAGUAAAUGAGAGCGCUUAUUACAACACACUGGUGC